CCACCCACCUCGGCCUCCCAAAGUGCUGGGAUGACAGGCGUGAGCCACCGCGCCCGGCAGCGAUACGAAGUUCUUAAAGCAAGUCUUCAUCAGGAAGGGUCCUUGAUCAGCAACUGCUUGCGCAGGGCUCAUUGCUUCUUCUUCUGAGAUUGGCUUUACUGACGACAGUUUCUUUAAUGUUGGAUGCUAAGAGAUGGGAUCUCACUACAUUGCCCAGGCCAGUCUUGAAC